GUGCUCACUUUGGCAGCACAUGUACUAAAAUUGAAACGAUACAAGUAAGAUCAGCAUGUCUCCUGCACAAGGAUGACACACAAUUUGUGAAAUAUUCCAUAUUUUA
ensembl:snRNA U6 U6 spliceosomal RNA